rnacentral:rRNA from 1 species
CCUACGGGAGGCAGCAGUGGGGAAUAUUGGACAAUGGGGGCAACCCUGAUCCAGCCAUGCCGCGUGUGUGAAGAAGGCCCUCGGGUUGUAAAGCACUUUCAGUGAGGAAGAACGCCUGGUGGUUAAUACCCAUCAGGAAAGACAUCACUCACAGAAGAAGCACCGGCUAACUCCGUGCCAGCAGCCGCGGUAAUACGGAGGGUGCGAGCGUUAAUCGGAAUUACUGGGCGUAAAGCGCGCGUAGGUGGAUUGAUAAGCCGGUUGUGAAAGCCCCGGGCUCAACCUGGGAACGGCAUCCGGAACUGUCAAGCUAGAGUGCAGGAGAGGAAGGUAGAAUUCCCGGUGUAGCGGUGAAAUGCGUAGAGAUCGGGAGGAAUACCAGUGGCGAAGGCGGCCUUCUGGACUGACACUGACACUGAGGUGCGAAAGCGUGGGUAGCAAACAGGAUUAGAUACCCCUGUAGUC